GACGAACGCUGGCGGCGUGCUUAACACAUGCAAGUCGAACGGAAAGGCCCUGCUUUUGUGGGGUGCUCGAGUGGCGAACGGGUGAGUAACACGUGAGUAACCUGCCCUUGACUUUGGGAUAACUUCAGGAAACUGGGGCUAAUACCGGAUAGGAGCUCCUGCUGCAUGGUGGGGGUUGGAAAGUUUCGGCGGUUGGGGAUGGACUCGCGGCUUAUCAGCUUGUUGGUGGGGUAGUGGCUUACCAAGGCUUUGACGGGUAGCCGGCCUGAGAGGGUGACCGGCCACAUUGGGACUGAGAUACGGCCCAGACUCCUACGGGAGGCAGCAGUGGCGAAUAUUACACAAUGGGCGGAAGCCUGAUGCAGCAACGCCGCGUGCGGGAUGACGGCCUUCGGGUUGUAAACCGCUUUCGCCUGUGACGAAGCGUGAGUGACGGUAAUGGGUAAAGAAGCACCGGCUAACUACGUG
rnacentral:rRNA from 1 species